rnacentral:rRNA from 1 species
GACGUAGGGUGCAAGCGUUGUCCGGAUUUACUGGGCGUAAAGAGCGCGUAGGCGGUCUGUUAAGUGAAGAAGUGGAAAUCUCCAGGGCUCAACCCGGAAACUGCUUUCAUACUGGCAGACUGGAGUGAUGAAGAGGUUUGUGGAAUUCCUGGUGUAACGGUGAAAUGUGUUGAUAUCAGGAGGAACACCCAUGGCGAAGGCAGCAAACUGGUCAUCA